rnacentral:rRNA from 1 species
UACAGAGGUCUCAAGCGUUGUUCGGAUUCAUUGGGCGUAAAGAGCGCGUAGGCGGCCAGAUAAGUCCGGUGUGAAAGUCACAGGCUCAACCUGUGAAUGCCGCUGGAAACUGUCUGGCUAGAGUCCGGAAGGGGCGAGUGGAAUUCCUGGUGUAGCGGUGAAAUGCGCAGAUAUCAGGAGGAACACCAAUGGCGAAGGCAGCUCGCUGGAACGGUACUGACGCUGAGGCGCGAAAGCGUGGGGAGCAAACAGG